rnacentral:rRNA from 1 species
AACGAACGCUGGCGGCAUGCCUAACACAUGCAAGUCGAACGAAGCCUUCGGGCUUAGUGGCGCACGGGUGCGUAACGCGUGGGAACCUACCAUCAGGUUCGGAAUAACAGUUAGAAAUGACUGCUAAUACCGGAUAAUGUCUUCGGACCAAAGAUUUAUCGCCUUUUGAUGGGCCCGCGUUGGAUUAGCUAGUUGGUGGGGUAAAGGCCUACCAAGGCGACGAUCCAUAGCUGGUCUGAGAGGAUGAUCAGCCACACUGGGACUGAGACACGGCCCAGACUCCUACGGGAGGCAGCAGUGGGGAAUAUUGGACAAUGGGCGAAAGCCUGAUCCAGCAAUGCCGCGUGAGUGAUGAAGGCCUUAGGGUUGUAAAGCUCUUUUACCUAGGGAUGAUAAUGACAGUACCUGGAGAAUAAGACUCCGGCUAACUCCGUG